rnacentral:rRNA from 1 species
UACAGAGGUCCCGAGCGUUGUUCGGAUUCACUGGGCGUAAAGGGUGCGUAGGUGGUGAGGUAAGUCGGAUGUGAAAUCUCCAGGCUCAACCUGGAAACUGCAUUGGAAACUACCUUGCUGGAGGAUUUGAGGGGGGAUUGGAAUACUUGGUGUAGCAGUGAAAUGCGUAGAUAUCGUAAGGAAGACCAGUGGCGAAGGCGGGUCUCUGGACAGUUCCUGACGCUGAGGCACGAAGGUCAGGGGAGCAAACGGGG